GAAGAGUUGGUUGAGAAGUGCUUCUUGGCUAAGGAUUAACCACACGGAGACAGCCAGCAGAAACAGAAGAACUGUGGGUUUCUUACCCCAGCCCCCAAGGAAGCUAUGCCAUGAAAAGGCUACCGACCCACUGACACACAGCAAGUUGGACGGGGCAUCAAUUCUUCUUUUGAGGAGCAGAGAAAAAAGAGGAAGUCUCUUAUUCCGAGCGUCUGAAGGAUGGCUUCCCAAUGCCAUCAGCUUCGGAUCCUGGUCUGGAAAAAUUGGCUAGGUGUUAAAAGACAGCCGCUUUGGACUCUUGUCUUGAUCUUAUGGCCAGUCAUUAUUUUCAUAAUUUUGGCUAUUACUCGGACCAAAUUUCCUCCAACAGCAAAACCAACUUGUUACCUCGCACCUCGAAACCUUCCUAGCACUGGAUUCUUCCCGUUUCUGCAAACCUUACUGUGUGACACAGACUCUAAAUGCAAAGACACACCCUAUGGGCCACAAGAUCUGCUUCGUAGGAAAGGGAUCGAUGAUGCACUAUUUAACAACAGUGAAAUUCUGAGAAAGUCGCCCAACUUGGAGGACAGCAAUUUAUCACUCCGGAGCACCCAAGUUCCAGAAAGAAGGCAUGCCUCACUGGCUACAGUAUUUCCCAGUCCAAGUUCUGAUUUGGAAAGUAUUGGAAGAGAUACUUUCAAUGGCAGUCAAGUGCUUGCACGAAUCCUUGGUUUGGAAAAGCUAUUAGAGAAAAAUUCAACUUCAGAAGAUAUACGAAGAGAACUGUGUGAGAGCUAUCCAGGAUACAUUGCGGAUUAUGCCUUCUCUUGGACCACUCUAGGAAAAAAUGUUUUCAACAAAUUCUGCCUUUCCAACAUGACCCUUUUAGAGUCUUCUCUCCAAGAACUAAAGAAACAGUUCUCUCGGAUAUCAAGUGACCCCAACAACCAGAAGAUAGUGUUUCAGGAACUGGUCGGAGCGCUGUCCUUCUUCUCGCAAGUGCAAGAGCAGACUGCUGUGUGGCAGCUCCUCUCCAGUUUUCCAGACGUGUUUCAGAAUGACACAUCACUAAGCCAUCUAUUUGACGUUCUUCGAAAGGCAAACAGUGCGCUGCUGGUCGUGCAGAAGGUUUAUCCACGUGUCACAACUAACGAAGGUUUCAGAACCCUCCAGAAGUCUGUUAAACAUCUGCUGUACACUCUGGACUCCCCAGCUCAAGGUGAUAAUAUAACACAAGAGUGGAAUGAAGAUGAUGGACAGAUGUUAUCUCCAAGCAGUCUGGCUGCACAGCUCCUGAUCCUGGAAAACUUUGAAGAUGCACUCUUAAAUGUAUCAGCAAAUAGUCCUUACGUCCCUUACCUGGCAUGUGUGAGAAAUGUGACCUACAAUUUGGCCAGGGGAUCACCAGAAAAUAUAAGACUCCUUCAGUCCACAAUAAGAUUUAGAAAAUCUUUUCUUCGAAAUGGUUCCUAUGAGGAUUACUUCCCUCCAGUUCCUGAAGUCUUAAAAUCAAAACUGUCUCAACUUCGAAACUUGACCGAACUUCUCUGUGAAUCUGAAACUUUCAAUUUGAUAGAGAAAUCAUGCCAUCUUUCUACUAUGAGCUUCGGGAGCCUGUGUGAAGACAGUGCAUUUGAUCUGCAGCUCCUUGAAGCAGCAGAGCUGGGCGCAGGAAUAGCAACCAGCUUACUAUACCAUGACAAUGUCAUAUCUGAAAAACUGAGAGAUUUACUGACUGGGGAUCCAAGCAAAAUUAAUUUAAAUAUGGAUCAGUUUCUCGAACAGACACUGCAAAUGAAUUACUUGGAAAAUAUCACACAGUUAAUACCGACCAUAGAAGCCAUGCUGCAUGUUAAUAACAGUGCAGAUGCCUCCGAAAAACCAGGUCAGUUAAUAGAAAUGUUUAAAAAUGUUGAAGAACUGAAAGAAGAACUGAGGAGAACGACAGGAAUGUCCAACAGGAGUAUUGAUAAGUUGCUGGCCGUUCCUAUCCCCGAUAACAGGGCUGAGAUUAUUUCUCGGGUGUUCUGGUUGCAUUCUUGUGAUGCUAAUGUUACCAAUCCCAAACUGGAGGAUGCAAUGAAGGAAUUCUGCAGCCUGCCUCUUCCAGAGAGAUCGCAUCAGUCUUACCUCAUUGGACUCACUUUUCUGCACUACUUAGACAUUUAUAACUUCACAUACAAGGUGUUUUUCCCUAGGAAAGAUCAAAAGCCAGUAGAAAAGAUGAUAGAACUCUUCAUGAGACUAAAGGAGAUUCUCAAUCAGAUGGCUUCCGGCACACAUCCGCUGCUAGACAAAAUGAGAUCCCUGAAACAAAUGCAUCUGCCCAGAAAUGUUCCAUUAACACAGGCAAUGUACAGAAGCAACCGAAUGAACACACCCCAAGGAUCAUUCAGGACCAUUUCCCAAGCAUUGUGUUCCCAAGGAAUUACCACUGAAUACUUAAUUGCCAUGCUGCCCUCUUCCCAGAGGCCAAAAGGAAACCACACCAAGGAUUUUUUGACGUAUAACUUAAGUAAAAAGCAAAUUGCUGCAAAAUAUGGAAUCCCCCUACAUACCACACCAUUUUGCUUCUCCCUUUAUAAAGACAUCAUUAACAUGCCUGCUGGACCUGUGAUUUGGGCUUUCUUGAAACCUAUGUUGUUGGGAAGAAUUUUGUAUGCACCAUAUAACCCGGUUACAAAGGCAAUAAUGGAAAAGUCUAACGUAACUCUGAGGCAGCUGGCGGAAUUAAGAGAAAGAUCUCAAGAGUGGAUGGAUAAAUCGCCACUUUUCAUGAAUUCCUUCCACCUGUUAAACCAGGCGAUUCCAAUGCUCCAGAAUACCCUAAGGAACCCCUUUGUGCAAGUUUUUAUAAAAUUCUCCGUGGGACUGGAUGCUGUUGAACUAUUGAAACAGAUAGAUGAACUCGACAUUCUAAGGAUGAAAUUAGAGAACAACAUUGACAUCAUUGAUCAGCUUAACACACUGUCUUCCCUGACAGUAAAUAUUUCCUCUUGUGUAUUAUAUGACCGUAUUCAGGGAUCAAAAACCAUAGAUGAAAUGGAGAGAGAGGCUAAAAGGCUCUACAAAACGAAUGAACUUUUUGGAAGUGUUAUUUUUAAGCUUCCUUCUAACAGAAGCCGGCAUGGAGGCUAUGGCUCUGAAAAUGUCUUUCUUCCUCCUGUCGUAAAAUAUACCAUCCGCAUGAGUCUCAAGACUGCGCAGACCACAAGAAGCAUAAGAAGCAAGAUUUGGGCCCCAGGGCCACACAAUUCUCCAUCAAACAACCAGAUCUAUGGCAGGGCUUUUAUUUAUUUACAGGAUAGUAUUGAAAGAGCAAUCAUUGAAUUGCAAACUGGAAGGAACUCACAGGAAAUAGCAGUUCAGGUUCAAGCAAUCCCUUAUCCCUGCUUCAUGAAAGACAAUUUCCUAACCAGUGUCUCUUAUUCUCUUCCAAUUGUGCUUAUGGUUGCCUGGGUUGUAUUUAUAGCUGCUUUUGUAAAAAAGCUUGUUUAUGAGAAAGACCUCCGGCUUCAUGAGUACAUGAAGAUGAUGGGUGUGAACUCCUGCAGCCAUUUUUUUGCCUGGCUUAUUGAAAGUGUUGGAUUUUUACUGGUUACCAUCGUGAUCCUUAUUAUUAUACUCAAGUUUGGCAAUAUUCUUCCUAAAACGAACGGGUUCAUUUUGUUCCUGUAUUUUUCGGACUACAGUUUCUCAGUUAUCGCCAUGAGCUAUCUUAUCAGUGUCUUCUUCAACAACACCAACAUUGCGGCUCUGAUCGGAAGCCUCAUCUACAUCAUUGCCUUUUUCCCAUUUAUUGUUCUGGUCACAGUUGAGAACGAGUUGAGCUAUGUAAUAAAAGUAUUCAUGAGCCUGCUGUCCCCAACAGCAUUCAGUUAUGCAAGCCAAUACAUUGCACAGUAUGAAGAACAAGGCAUUGGUCUCCAGUGGGAAAAUAUGUACAGCUCCCCGGUUGAAGAUGACACCACUUCAUUUGGCUGGCUGUGCUGUCUAAUCCUAGCUGACUCUUUCAUUUAUUUCCUUAUUGCUUGGUAUGUCAGGAACGUUUUUCCAGGGACAUAUGGUAUGGCAGCUCCAUGGUAUUUUCCAAUCCUUCCAUCCUAUUGGAAGGAGCGAUUUGGGUGUGCAGAGGAAAAGCCUGAGAAGAGCAAUGGCCUCAUGUUCACCAAUAUCAUGAUGCAGAACACCAACCCAUCCGCUAGUCCUGAGUACAUGUUUCCCUCCAACAUUGAGCCUGAACCUAAAGAUCUCACAGUCGGGGUUGCCCUUCAUGGGGUCACAAAGACCUAUGGCUCAAAGGUCGCUGUUGAUAACCUCAAUCUGAACUUUUAUGAAGGGCAUAUUACUUCAUUGCUGGGGCCCAAUGGAGCCGGGAAAACUACUACCAUUUCCAUGUUGACCGGGCUGUUUGGGACCUCAGCAGGUACCAUCUUUGUGUACGGAAAAGAUAUCAAAACAGACCUAAACAUCGUGCGAAAGAACAUGGGGGUGUGCAUGCAGCAUGACGUCUUGUUCAGUUACCUCACCACCAAGGAACACCUUCUCUUAUAUGGUUCCAUCAAAGUUCCUCACUGGACUAAAAAGCAGCUCCACGAGGAAGUAAAAAGGACUUUAAAAGACACUGGGCUGUAUAGCCAUCGUCAUAAGAGAGUUGGAACAUUGUCAGGAGGAAUGAAGAGGAAGUUAUCUAUAUCCAUAGCUCUCAUCGGUGGAUCAAGGGUAGUAAUUCUGGAUGAACCAUCCACUGGCGUUGACCCAUGUUCUCGCAGAAGUAUAUGGGAUGUUAUAUGCAAGAACAAAACUGCCAGAACAAUCAUUCUGUCGACGCACCAUUUGGACGAGGCCGAAGUGCUGAGUGACCGCAUCGCCUUCCUGGAGCACGGCGGGCUGCGGUGCUGCGGGUCACCCUUUUACCUCAAGGAGACGUUUGGGGAUGGAUAUCACCUCACGCUCACCAAGAAGAAGAGUCCAAAUCUAAAUGCAAACAUAGUAUGUGACACUAUGGCCGUGACAGCAAUGAUCCGAUCACACCUUCCCGAAGCCUACCUCAAGGAGGAUAUUGGGGGCGAGCUUGUUUAUGUGCUUCCUCCCUUCAGCACCAAAGUCUCGGGAGCCUAUCUGUCGCUCCUGCGAGCGCUGGACAAUGGCAUGGGUGACCUCAACAUCGGGUGCUAUGGCAUUUCAGACACCACCGUGGAAGAGGUCUUUCUGAACUUGACUAAAGAGUCACAUAAAAAUAGUAACAUGAGUCUUGAGUACUUAACGCAAAAGAAAAUCGGAAGUUCCAGUACCAACGGCAUCUCAACUCCUGACGAUUUAUCUGUGAGCAGCAGCAAUUUCACAGACAGAGACGACAAAAUCCUGACAAGAGGAGAGAGAUUGGAUGGUUUGGGACUAUUACUGAAGAAGAUAAUGGCUAUACUCAUCAAGAGGUUCCACCACACCCGAAGGAACUGGAAAGGUCUCAUUGCCCAGGUUAUCCUCCCCAUCGUCUUCGUGACCACAGCAAUGGGUCUUGGCACAUUAAGAGAUUCCAGCAACAUUUAUCCAGAGAUCCAGAUCUCCCCCUCUCUUUACGGUACCUCCAAACAGACAUCCUUCUAUGCGAAUUCUCACCCAAGCACGAAAGGACUGGUCUCAGCAAUGUGGAACUUCCCUGGAGUUGACAACCUGUGCCUGAACACCAGUGAUCCAUGGUGUUUAAAGAAAGAAAGUCUGGGAAAAUGGAACACCAGUGGAGAACCUAUCACUAAUUUUGGUGUUUGCUCCUGCUCAGAAAAUAUCCAGGAAUGUCCUAAAUUUAACUACUCCCCACCUCAUAGAAGAACUUAUUCCUCCCAGAUAAUUUAUAACCUCACUGGGCACCGUGUGGAAAAUUAUCUUAUAUCAACUGCAAAUGAGUUUGUCCAAAAAAGAUAUGGAGGUUGGAGUUUUGGGCUGCCUUUGACUACAGACCUUCGUUUUGAUAUAACACCGAUUCCUGCCAAUAGAACACUUGCCAAGGUAUGGUAUGAUCCAGAAGGCUAUCAUUCCCUUCCGGCUUACCUCAACAGCCUGAAUAAUUUCCUCCUGCGAGUUAACAUGUCAAAAGAGGAUGCUGCCCGACACGGCAUCAUCAUGUACAGCCAUCCGUACCCAGGAGUGCAAGACCAAGAACAAGCCACAAUCAGCAGUUUAAUUGAUAUUUUAGUGGCACUGUCCAUCCUGAUGGGCUACUCUGUCACCACCGCCAGCUUUGUCACCUACGUCGUAAGGGAACAUCAAACCAAAGCCAAACAAUUGCAACACAUUUCAGGCAUCGGUGUGACAUGCUACUGGGUAACAAACUUCAUUUAUGACAUGGUCUUCACUUUGGCUGCCUGUAGCAUUUUUCAAUGUGUGUCAUCGCAAUUUUCAAGUACCGUGCUUUCUACAGUGAAAACAACUACGGAGCUGUAUCUCUCCUACUUCUGCUGUUUGGGUAUGCAACGUUUUCUUGGAUGUACUUGCUGGCUGGGCUCUUCCAUGAAACAGGAAUGGCCUUUAUCACUUAUGUCUGUGUCAACUUGUUUUUUGGCAUCAAUUCCAUUGUUUCCCUGUCUGUGGUGUACUUUCUUUCCAAGGAAAAGCCUAAUGAUCCGACUUUAGAACUUAUUUCUGAAACCCUCAAGCGCAUUUUCCUGAUUUUCCCGCAAUUCUGUUUUGGUUACGGCUUGAUUGAACUUUCUCAACAACAGUCAGUCCUAGACUUCUUAAAAGCAUAUGGAGUGGAAUAUCCAAGUGAAACCUUUGAGAUGAAUAAGCUGGGCGCAAUGUUUGUGGCUUUGGUUUCUCAGGGCACCAUGUUUUUUCUCUUGCGACUCCUAAUUAAUGAGUCGCUAAUAAAGAAAAUCAGGCUCUUCCUCAGAAAAUUUAAUUCUUCACCUGUAGUGGAGACAAUAGAUGAAGACGAAGACGUGCGGGCCGAGAGGUUAAGAGUUGAGAGUGGUGCGGCUGAAUUUGACCUGGUGCAACUUUAUCGUCUCACCAAGACCUACCAACUUAUCCACAAAAAGAUUAUAGCUGUAAACAACAUUAGCCUUGGGAUACCUGCUGGAGAAUGCUUUGGCCUUCUUGGGGUGAAUGGAGCAGGAAAGACCACUAUAUUCAAGAUGCUGACUGGAGACAUAAUUCCUUCCACUGGAAACAUUCUGAUCAGAAAUAAGACUGGAUCUCUGGGUCAUGUUGACUCUCAUAGCUCAUUAGUUGGCUACUGCCCUCAAGAAGAUGCCUUAGAUGACCUGUUAACUGUGGAAGAACAUUUGUAUUUCUAUGCCAGAGUACACGGAAUUCCAGAAAAAGAUAUUAAAGAAACGGUUCACAAGCUCCUCAGGAGGCUUCAUCUGAUGCCCUUCAAGGACAGAGCUACCUCUUUGUGCAGUUAUGGCACAAAAAGAAAAUUAUCCACUGCACUAGCCUUGAUAGGGAAACCUUCCAUUCUACUGCUGGAUGAGCCAAGCUCUGGGAUGGAUCCUAAGUCGAAACGGCACCUCUGGAAGAUCAUUUCAGAAGAAGUACAGAACAAAUGUUCCGUCAUCCUCACAUCUCACAGCAUGGAAGAAUGUGAAGCUCUCUGUACCAGGCUGGCCAUUAUGGUGAAUGGAAGGUUCCAAUGUAUUGGAUCUUUGCAGCACAUAAAGAGCAGGUUUGGACGAGGAUUUACUGUUAAGGUUCACUUAAAAAAUAACAAAGUGAGCAUGGAGACCCUCACGAAGUUCAUGCAGCUGCACUUUCCAAAAACAUACUUAAAAGAUCAGCACCUUAGCAUGCUAGAGUAUCAUGUACCAGUCACGGCAGGAGGAGUGGCAAACAUUUUUGAUUUGCUGGAAACCAACAAGACUGCUUUAAAUAUUACAAAUUUCCUAGUGAGUCAGACCACUCUGGAAGAGGUUUUCAUCAACUUUGCCAAAGACCAAAAGUCCUAUGAAACUGUUGAUACCAGUAGCCAAGGUUCCACUAUAAGCGUUGACUCACAGGAUGAUCAAAUAGAGUCUUAACACUUCCGGCAAACUCGAUCUCAGCCUAUGGCCAACGGCUACAUUUUGAGAAAAAGCCACAGAAGACACCACUUCUUCAAAAUGACAUUUUAAAGUAUUAUUCUGUAUGGAAAGUUACAAUUGUGUAAGACUAACAAGUAUUGUAAAUGGAAAGGUUUUCUUUGUAAGGUCAGUGAAUGUUGUUACUGAAAUGAAUUCCCGUACACCCAGCACUAUGAACGUGCUAAUGUAUAUGUCGGUGAUUCUCAGGAAAAGGUGAAACCACCUCACGAUGAAUGUUUUAAUUUAUUACUUUCAAUAAAAAGACAGCUUAAAAGGCACAGAUAUUAGUAGUUCAAAAGUAAGAGUGGAAAAGAAAAGUAAGAUGGUUUGUGGUAGGGAGGGCUGGGCAAGUAAACAAAAUAAGUUAUUUCCAGGAAAAUACCAGAAUGGGCAUCACCAUGAGUACCUGAAUCUACUGUGACGUGUAAAGUGCUAAGGGCCAGGUUAACAUUUGCAGAGCAGUGGGUACAAUGUCCACGACGUAUGUGUAUGUCAUUUUCAGUACCUGUGAAUACGUGAAGACAUAAGCCAAAAAAGUGCUUUUCUACAAGAAUGAAUGCAAUAGAGAGAGUAGUUUACCCUGGUGGUAAACGGAACUUAGAUUCAUUCCUGCCAUGCCUUGCCAAUCCAUAGUAAGGUGCAAGGUCGACAAGAAGCUACUUGUACUUUGGGGGGUGGGGGGCAGAAAUGGGUGUGUCAGCUGGGCAGAUACAAGUCCUGAAAAGAGAAUUCAUGUGCUGCUGGCAAGCAACAUUUUUAAAAAAUCUCUUACAAAAAAAACCCCUCAUAUUCCAGGUUUCUUCUCAGGAAACAUUACUGUGGAGGGAAAAUGAAUAUGAAGAUAAUUUUCAGCUAAUUACCUGGCUGACCCAGAAUCAUGUGAAUGGCUAUAGAAUAGACUUAACAAUGCCAAAGGACAUGACCCUCAGUGCUUUACGUACCGUGUUUGUAAGUGUGUGUGUGUUUGUGCACGCACGUGCGUGUGUCUGUAUAAGUUUGCCAGCGUUGGCAUGACUGUUUCCUCUUCAAAAAGCAAUAAAUUCAAAGUUUAGAAAA